rnacentral:lncRNA from 1 species
UUGUCUUCUUGAAAAAGAUGCUUGAAGAUCUAAAUUUUUUUUUCUACCAUACUUGUUUUCAUCCUUUUCUUGGGUGCUGAAAGGAGAAACCAUUCUUGUUGUUGGAUCGUGACCACUUCGGAAAUCCAUAGCCUCGGCUUCGUUAAAUCUUCAUACGAUGAUUUGCCGAACUACCCUGCAUGAAAGGAGUGUUUAUCAUAUUGGAACAGUGACUACGUGCCUUAAAUCCAAGC